UCUCCGUAGGUGAACCUGCGGAAGGAUCAUUACCGAAUUGUCAAACGGGUUGUUGCUGGUCUUCAAACGGGGACAUGUGCACGCUCUGUUUACACAUCCACUCACACCUGUGCACCCUCCGUAGUUCUAUGGUCUGGGGGACCCUGUCUUCCUGCCGUGGUUCUACGUCUUUACACACACACUGUAAUAAAGUCUUAUGGAAUGUAUGCCGCGUCUAACGCAAUACAAUACAACUUUCAGCAACGGAUCUCUUGGCUCUC
rnacentral:misc_RNA from 1 species